UCGUAAAUAGUCCAAUGGUUAGAGCGUUGGUCUGCCACGCCGAAGUGCGCGAGUUCGAAUCCUGCAAUAUGGU
rnacentral:tRNA from 1 species